rnacentral:ncRNA from 5 species
ACCACCAGGAGUGGAGCCUGCGG